rnacentral:miRNA from 1 species
AGUGUUUGUAGUUAUUCCAU